rnacentral:rRNA from 1 species
AACGUAGGACGCGAGCGUUAUCCGGAGUUACUGGGCGUAAAGCGCGGGCAGGCGGUGGUCUAAGUGGGAUGUGAAAGCGCCCGGCUAAACCGGGCGAGGCCAUUCCAAACUAGGUCACUGGAGGGCAGUAGAGGUGGGUAGAAUUCCGGGUGGAGUGGUGAAAUGCGUAGAGAUCCGGAGGAAUACCAGAGGCGAAGGCGGCCCACUGGGCUGCACCUGACGCUGAGCCGCGAAAGCCAGGGGAGCGAACGGG